rnacentral:rRNA from 1 species
UACGUAGGGCGCAAGCGUUGUCCGGAAUUAUUGGGCGUAAAGAGCUCGUAGGCGGCUUGUCACGUCGGGUGUGAAAGCCCGGGGCUUAACCCCGGGUCUGCAUUCGAUACGGGCAGGCUAGAGUGUGGUAGGGGAGAUCGGAAUUCCUGGUGUAGCGGUGAAAUGCGCAGAUAUCAGGAGGAACACCGGUGGCGAAGGCGGAUCUCUGGGCCGUUACUGACGCUGAGGAGCGAAAGCGUGGGGAGCGAACAGG